AGCCUGUCGAGGCUUCGUUCAUAAUAGAAUCAAGUAUUCGUUCACAUGAAAGAUGUCACUCUCCGAUUAAAAGUUACCACGAACCACUCUUUGAUCCGGAGGAUGGCAGUCGAUCGAACUCGUCCGUAAAAGAUGAAAAAAUGCAGAUGGGGCAGGGGGAACGAGAAAACAAAAUUUCCAAGAAACGAAAAAUUUCUUUUCGAUAACGAGGGUGAGAGAAAAAGAAGAAAGAAGAGAAAAGACGGUCGUUCUUGGUGAUGUGUCGGGAGAGCACUAAACAAACGUGCAUCUAUAUUGGGCCUGGUGAGUCAGCUACACCUGCUUCGAGGUAUCCCCCACCAGACAGGACGUGCAAGCACGAGCCAAGAAGAAAAUACGGUUCUUCGGCUCUUAAUUCAUCUUCAGGGCUGGAUUAAGUCGAAGCUCUGAUUUCCAUGUUGAUGCCGCAGCGAACAAUUAAGAAAUCCAAUGGGGGACAGAGAUAUUUAUCCUGGGAUCGUCUUUCUUUGGGAAGCAUAUGCUUCAACUUUGGAAACUGUAUCAACAAGAAUAAUAUUUCAAAUAAGAAAAUGAUUGAAAAUCUAUAAUUUCGUUUGAUAAAAGCUAUUGAAGUAGAAUAUAUAAUUUAUCACUUAAUAUAUUUUAUUCUUUAUACUUUUAUCCAGAUCAUUCGGCUUUCGCAGAUAUUUGGAAAAUUAAUUUAUUUCUUCUCGGUUAGCCACUUUAUAGUUUUAUAUAUAUUCAAUCUGAUAAAAGGUAGAAAGUGCAUGGUCUGUUUUUAUUUACUUGGGUCUUUUAGGACAGAGCUUUUAUCGUCGUCGAUAGGUGUCAAUCAAAAACAAGUUCCCCUGAUUAGUCGUUCGUUAAAUUUAGUAUACUUGUACAAUGUGACUGUUUUCGCGGGCCCUUUGCCAGGGUAGAUUUCGCCGAUCGACGAACUCCCAAACUAUUCGUCACGGUGAAAUCACAACGAGCCAAGGUGCGAUGUUUUAACUUCUUUCUAUCGCUUCGUUCGCAUAUUGAAAGGAAACAAUAUUUAAAUAAAACCGCAUUUCGCAAGAACUAAAGAAGAAAAAAAACAAAGUGCAGACAUAAGUGUUAAUUAUUUACAAAAACAAUCGAAUGACGACAAUGGGUUUGCCUGAGCGCAUCACAUUCCGCGCUAAAAGGAAGGUUUUGUGGAACAUACGGAGAACGUUAUUUUGGGAUUAGAGUACUAUCGCGGAAAGGAAGAUUCGAAGACGCUAUGUAUAAAAUCUUAAAUUUCAACCUGUAUAGGUAAUAGCUUUUCACAAUUUAUAUAAAUUGUGAAUAAAUAGAAAAUUCAUUAAAGAUUACCAUAGUAAUGAUUCAAUUACACAAUUGAAUCCUUAUAAAUAAUAUCAGAAUAAUAUGAUGACUCUUCAGAGAAGAAUAUUUUAAACAUACAACUUUUAUGUUAUGAGAAAAGGGUUUAUUCUAUUACAAUUUAACAAAAUACAUAGUUAAAAAUGAUUUGGGCACAGCAUAUGGAAAAAUUAUCAAGAUAUCAUAUACAAAUAAGAUAAGCAAGUAAUGUAAAAUAAAUAUAAAAUUAU
rnacentral:lncRNA from 1 species